AGGACGCUCCUUCGGGAAGCGAGCGUACACAGGUGCUGCAUGGCUGUCGUCAGCUCGUGUCGUGAGAUGUUGGGUUAAGUCCCGUAACGAGCGCAACCCUUGUCCUUAGUUACCAGCACGUUAUGGUGGGCACUCUAAGGAGACUGCCGGUGACAAACCGGAGGAAGGUGGGGAUGACGUCAAAUCAUCAUGCCCCUUAUGAUCUGGGCUACACACGUGCUACAAUGGCCGGUACAACGGGCAGCGAAGGAGCGAUCCGGAGCGAAUCCUAAAAAGCCGGUCCCAGUUCGGAUUGCAGGCUGAAACUCGCCUACAUGAAGUUGGAGUUGCUAGUAAUCGCGAAUCAGCCAUGGCGCGGUGAAUACGUUCCCGGGCCUU
rnacentral:rRNA from 1 species